rnacentral:pre_miRNA from 1 species
AGCUUUUUGAAUCCGUGUGGAGAUUUUGUCAGUCACCAACCCACUAGGGCUAAUCAGUCUUCCAAGAUAAGUGAAGUU